rnacentral:rRNA from 1 species
AGCAUAUCAAUAAGCGGAGGAAAAGAAACCAACGGGGAUUGCCCUAGUAACGGCGAGUGAAGCGGCAACAGCUCAAAUUUGAAAUCUGGCGCAAGCCCGAGUUGUAAUUUGUAGAGGAUGCUUCUGGGUAGCGACCGGUCUAAGUUCCUUGGAACAGGACGUCAUAGAGGGUGAGAAUCCCGUAUGUGACCGGCCCGCACCCUCGACGUAGCUCCUUCGACGAGUCGAGUUGUUUGGGAAUGCAGCUCUAAAUGGGAGGUAAAUUUCUUCUAAAGCUAAAUACCGGCCAGAGACCGAUAGCGCACAAGUAGAGUGAUCGAAAGAUGAAAAGUACUUUGGAAAGAGAGUUAAAAAGCACGUGAAAUUGUUGAAAGGGAAGCGCCUGCAACCAGACUUCGCGGCAGUGUUCCGCCGGUCUUCUGACCGGUUCAUUCUCUGCCGCGAGGCCAUCAUCGUCUGGGCCCGCCGGAUAAGACCUUGGGAAUGUAGCUCACCUUCGGGGGAGUGUUAUAGCCUAGGGUGAUGCGGCGCGGCUCGGGCGAGGUCCGCGCUUCGGCAAGGAUGAUGGCGUAAUGGUUGUCGGCGGCCCGUCUUGAAACACGGACCAAGGAGUCUAACAUCUAUGCGAGUGUUCGGGUGUCAAACCCCUACGCGUAAUGAAAGUGAACGGAGGUGGGAACCGCAAGGUGCACCAUCGACCGAUCCUGAUGUCCUCGGAUGGAUUUGAGUAAGAGCAUAGCUGUUGGGACCCGAAAGAUGGUGAACUAUGCCUGAAUAGGGUGAAGCCAGAGGAAACUCUGGUGGAGGCUCGCAGCGGUUCUGACGUGCAAAUCGAUCGUCAAAUUUGGGUAUAGGGGCGAAAGACUAAUCGAACCAUCUAGUAGCUGGUUCCUGCCGAAGU